rnacentral:rRNA from 1 species
GAUGAACGCUGGCGGCGUGCCUAAUACAUGCAAGUCGAGCGGCAGCACGGUCUUCGGACUGGUGGCGAGCGGCGGACGGCUGAGUAACGCGUAGGAACAUGCCCCAAAGUGAGGGAUAACUGCCCGAAAGGGUGGCUAAUGCCGCAUGUGGUCUUCGGACUAAAGCUUUAUGCGCUUUGGGAGUGGCCUGCGUCCGAUUAGCUUGUUGGUGAGGUAAUGGCUCACCAAGGCGACGAUCGGUAGCUGGUCUGAGAGGAUGAUCAGCCAGACUGGAACUGAGAACGGUCCAGACUCCUACGGGAGGCAGCAGUAGGGAAUUUUCCACAAUGGGCGAGAGCCUGAUGGAGCAACGCCGCGUGCAGGAUGAAUGCCUUCGGGUUGUAAACUGCUUUUAUGUGCGAAGAAUUUGACUGUAACACAUGAAUAAGGAUCGGCUAACUACGUGCCAGCAGCCGCCGUAAUAC